GAUGAACGCUAGCUACAGGCUUAACACAUGCAAGUCGAGGGGAAACGGCAUCGAAAGCUUGCUUUUGAUGGGCGUCGACCGGCGCACGGGUGAGUAACGCGUAUCCAACCUGCCCAUCACUUGGGAAUAACCUUGCGAAAGUAAGACUAAUGCCCAAUGACAUCCCACGAAGGCAUCCGAAUGGGAUUAAAGAUUUAUCGGUGAUGGAUGGGGAUGCGUCUGAUUAGCUUGUUGGCGGGGUGACGGCCCACCAAGGCAACGAUCAGUAGGGGUUCUGAGAGGAAGGUCCCCCACAUUGGAACUGAGACACGGUCCAAACUCCUACGGGAGGCAGCAGUGAGGAAUAUUGGUCAAUGGGCGAUAGCCUGAACCAGCCAAGUAGCGUGCAGGAUGACGGCCCUAUGGGUUGUAAACUGCUUUUAUAAGGGAAUAAAGUGGGUCACGUGUGACUUUUUGCAUGUACCUUAUGAAUAAGGACCGGCUAAUUCCGUG
rnacentral:rRNA from 1 species